GAUGAACGCUGGCGGCAUGCCUAACACAUGCAAGUCGAACGGGAAGUGGUGUUUCCAGUGGCGAACGGGUGAGUAACGCGUAAGAACCUGCCCUUGGGAGGGGAACAACAACUGGAAACGGUUGCUAAUACCCCGUAGGCUGAGGAGCAAAAGGAGAAAUCCGCCCAAGGAGGGGCUCGCGUCUGAUUAGCUAGUUGGUGAGGUAAUAGCUUACCAAGGCGAUGAUCAGUAGCUGGUCCGAGAGGAUGAUCAGCCACACUGGGACUGAGACACGGCCCAGACUCCUACGGGAGGCAGCAGUGGGGAAUUUUCCGCAAUGGGCGAAAGCCUGACGGAGCAAUGCCGCGUGGAGGUGGAAGGCCUACGGGUCGUCAACUUCUUUUCUCGGAGAAGAAACAAUGACGGUAUCUGAGGAAUAAGCAUCGGCUAACUCUGUG
rnacentral:rRNA from 1 species